AGUGAACGCUGGCGGUAGGCCUAACACAUGCAAGUCGAACGGCAGCACAGUAAGAGCUUGCUCUUACGGGUGGCGAGUGGCGGACGGGUGAGGAAUACAUCGGAAUCUACUUUUUCGUGGGGGAUAACGUAGGGAAACUUACGCUAAUACCGCAUACGACCUACGGGUGAAAGCAGGGGAUCUUCGGACCUUGCGCGAUUGAAUGAGCCGAUGUCGGAUUAGCUAGUUGGCGGGGUAAAGGCCCACCAAGGCGACGAUCCGUAGCUGGUCUGAGAGGAUGAUCAGCCACACUGGAACUGAGACACGGUCCAGACUCCUACGGGAGGAAGCAGUGGGGAAUAUUAGACAAUGGGCGCAAGCCUGAUCCAGCCAUACCGCGUGGGUGAAGAAGGCCUUCGGGUUGUAAAGCCCUUUUGUUGGGAAAGAAAAGCAGCAGGUUAAUACCCCGCUGUUCUGACGGUACCCAAAGAAUAAGCACCGGCUAACUUCGUG
rnacentral:rRNA from 1 species